ensembl:lncRNA
GCGAGUGGGGCCGGGGCUCUGGGCUUCCUCCCCGGCCCGGCGACACGCGGGGGACGCCGGGGCUCCCUCGAGCCGCUCCCCUGCACGUGUGGACUCGCGUGCGCCCUCGGGGCGGGGGGGGGGGGGGGGUUCCCAGGAGGCCGCGGCGGCCCGAGCGCGGAGAGCGGCUGCCGGGCCGGGCCGGCGGCCGGGGCGCCUCCUCCGGUGGUCUGCGCGCCGGCGGGGACCGCGCGCCGCCCCUCCGGGCGCCCGAGCCGCCGCGCCGCGCGGAGCCGCUGCCCCGGGCGCCGCGGGCCCGGCCGCCUCCCCAGCCCGGCGCGCCGCCGCCCUGCCCCGGGCGGAGUAAACACGAGCCGCGCAAGAUUUGACCUGGCGCGACCCGGAUUUCUGGCCGGGGUUCCCCCUGAGCAGGUGACUCCGUGGGAGGGGUGGAAAUGAGUCUCUGGAAUUCCGGGCCAAAGACAUGAACUGUGGUUCUGCUUUUAAAGCAACUAUUUCACCAACAACUGCAGGCUGUUUUGCGUCUCAAAUUUCAGAUUUCGCGGAAAGGGACCAAAUGUCAAGACAGAUCACAGACUCCCUUCCUUUUUCAUUAAAAACGAAUCCAUUAAAAGGGAGGGCAGCCCCUUUAAUGACCGCGAGAAGAGCGCGGCUUGGUUUCGUUUUUGUCUUGUUGUGUUUUUCAUUUCGACCUAGAAUCAGUGUAUUUCUGAAGUCCCCGUGCGAUGGCGACGCUGCCGGGAAGGGCGGCUGUGCAGAAUAAAGCAGCGCUUCCUUUCCCAUCAAACUCACGUUCUCUCAAACCUGCUGAUCUCAGAGAGUUGUCAACAGAAAAACCAACUAUUCAAGCCUAAAGUAAACCAGGAAGGUCGAAGUGUUCCAGGAACAUCGAACCACAUAGUCCCUCCAUCUGAGCACAGAACUAUGAAGGGAGUGAGAAAUGUACCUAGUGUUCUCAAGAGCUAAAAAUAAGGAGGGAGUAACUAAACUGCUUAUGUGAAAAAAAUCAUGAGGCCGGUAUCCAAAGAAGAGUCUCAAACUUUCUUCAACAUGGAUAGUCCACCUUUUGCUCCCACCGAAUUACUAAAACAAUUUACAAAUUGAUUCACAAAUUAACUUCUAACGGUCAUGUUUUAAAGCCUCACGUUAGUCCUGAUAUUACACGGUGGACGCGUUCUCUUAUUGACCCUUGAACAUUGGCAUUCCCAGAGUUCUACUCAUCGUCUCCUAUCCUCACUCUUCUCCAGAGUUCUCAAAACGGAAGCCCGCAGACUGGGUACAGACCACAGAUGUCUACUGUUUGGGCUCUACAGGACUUCAGGCAAAUUUAAGAAACAGUAUUUAAAACCUGAAGUUUUCACUUAUUCGUUUGGAUUUUCCAGGUUCUUUUGAAAAAUGGGAAGAUCUGACAACACCAGACCAGCCUUUACGUCUAUCAAUAAUUACCUGCAACUAAACAGAGGUUGCUCCCUAGAGACCGGAUGUUUGCUCUCCUGUUGCUAUAGUCCUCACCACUCCCUACUGCCUUAAAUCCCUGGCCCACCCCCUUAAUUCAUUUACAUGAGUGAGCACUUGCAAAGGCUCCUCAUAUACCUACACUGUGUAAUCCCAUCCUUACUUGUGGUUUCAGCUACCUCACCCUAAAUUUCUAAUGGAGAACACGUUUUGGAACACUAUAUGAUCUCUCAGUUCCCCUUAGAUUACUGUAGGUGCCUCACUCUCAACAUGUCCAAAACCAAACACAUUAUUUUUUCUCAUUAACCACCAAAUUUUCCCCUUCUGUAGUCCCUAUACAGUUAAUAGUGUCACCAUCUGUGAUGGUCAGUUUUACGUGUCAACUUGUCUAGGCUAUAGUAUCCAAUUAUUCAAAUAAACGCUAAUCUAGGUUUUGCUGAAAAGAUGUUUUGUAGGUGUGGUUGGCAUCUACCAUCAGUUGACCUUAAGUAAAGGAGCUUAUCUUUGCUAAUCUGAGUGGGCCUCAUUCAAUCAGU